rnacentral:rRNA from 1 species
CAAUAGCGUAUAUUAAAGUUGUUGCAGUUAAAAAGCUCGUAGUUGGAUUUCUGGUGGGAGCGAUCGGUCUGGCGCUUAGCGCGAGUACUUGCAUCGUCUCCGGCCAUCCUUGGGGAGAGUCUGUCUGGCAUUAGGUUGUCGGGCAGAGGAUCCUCAUCGUUUACUGUGAAAAAAUUAGAGUGUUCAAAGCAGGCUUGUGCCGUUGAAUAUAUUAGCAUGGAAUAAUAAGAUAGGACUUUGGUACUAUUUUGUUGGUUUGCGCACCAAAGUAAUGAUUAAUAGGGACAGUUGGGGGUAUUCGUAUUCCGUUGUCAGAGGUGAAAUUCUUGGAUUUACGGAAGACGAACUACUGCGAAAGCAUUUACCAAGGAUGUUUUCAUUAA